GUCAGCUCGUGUCGUGAGAUGUUGGUUAAGUCCCGUAACGAGCGCAACCCUUGUCCUUAGUUACCAGCACAUUAUGGUGGGCACUCUAAGGAGACUGCCGGUGACAAACCGGAGGAAGGUGGGGAUGACGUCAAGUCAUCAUGGCCCUUACGGCCAGGGCUACACACGUGCUACAAUGGUCGGUACAGAGGGUUGCCAAGCCGCGAGGUGGAGCUAAUCUCACAAAACCGAUCGUAGUCCGGAUCGCAGUCUGCAACUCGACUGCGUGAAGUCGGAAUCGCUAGUAAUCGUGAAUCAGAAUGUCACGGUGAAUACGUUCCCGGGCCUU
rnacentral:rRNA from 1 species